rnacentral:lncRNA from 1 species
GGUCUCUGCUGACACAAACCUGCAUUUAUUUUGGUGUUAGCUCCCUCUGACCCUUCACUUUGGCCCAAAGUCCCAGGAGGCUUCUAGACUUGAAGGAACUGAAAUGAGUCUUAGCAAAAAGUAUUCAAAAGGAUUUUUAAAGCUUUUGGGAGUGUCCUGUUGUUAUGUAGUAUGAUCCUUGACUUCUGUUGUAAAGAACUAUUUUUUUCUGUGGUUUAGUUUACCUGUCUGGGACAGCAAAUCAACAGUAAAUCAUUAAGCAUACUUUGUUUUCUUUCUGAAUAUUUUCUGAUUUUGCUAAGUAGGUAGGUAUGAAAUUUUCAUUGUGAAAAAUCAACAUGACCUUUUAUAAAAAUCAGGUGCAAGCAUUUAAGCGUUUGGAUGUUCAGGCAUUUUAGGAAGAGACCACCUGAAUUUCAACACACAAAAAAUAACACAUCUUAAACACAUCUUGACACAUCUUAAAAUGUUAAGGAGGAGCACAGAUAGGUAAUUGUUAAUUGCUGCUGAAGCAACUCUGGGCAUUUUCCUGCAUGAAUAUCAGGAACAGUACUGUAGGGACUGAGCUACUGCAACUAACUCUUAUGAAGGUCAGAAUGAUUUGCGGACAAACAUGUCAUGUUGACUCCCUGUGACUGACCAUCAUGGGCAUUGACUUCUGGGCUUUGGAACAGCUGCUGCUUCCGUAGACUGUUGAGGCAUAAAAACCUCUUGGAAUAGGACUCAGAAGAUGUUUCUGUUUUUUUCAAUAAGCACGUGAAAUUCCCAGAUUGGGAUUGGAGCUAUGGAAUUUGUAUUUCUGUCAUAAUGUGUGGUCUCACCUGGGCGUACUCUACCCUUUUCCCUACACCAAAUGUGCAUAGCACAGUUGGGUCUGACUUGCCCAAGCUACCUCCUAAAAGUCAAGGUUGUCAGACACCAAGUGAUGUAUGAGCUCCAACAGCACUGCUCUGCAGUUGGUGACCUGCCUGCUCAGGGAGUUCAGGUCCACGGUUGGAUUAACAUCUCAUUCCUUCUGUAUGUCUGGCUGAGUCUGAAGAUACCUAACCAGGCUGAUGGCAGAAGAAACAGAUGGCCUAGAUGGGAGCUGGAGGAACCUUCAUCACUGCAGCUUCAGAUAAAAACAGUGCAUGGAAGAAGAGGCUGAAAAACUAAAAUAUUUCAGUGAAACUGGGAAAACUUCUGCUCAUUGAAUAAUUUCCUUAAAUAAUCUGUUCUCCAAGUACUGCUUUUUAGUACAGAAACUUCUGAUAGCUCAUUACCUUGAGUAAGUUUUACAUAUCCUUGCUGAGCCUUUCUGAUGCGUUCCUUGUUGCCAACUCCCUUUGAUCUUCAGGAUAUGCAUGCUCCACCUUGCACCCACAGCACAAAGUUCUGUAGUGUGAAUCUUCUCCAAGAAGAGUUAGUCUCCUGCACACCUCAGCAGACAAGAAAACAAGAAUAGCUUUUCUUCUGCUGACCAACUCUUGUCUUACAAAAGAUGCAAAAACUGUUGUCUUAAGUAAGAGUCUGAGUGCUGAGAUUUAUAGUUUAAAAUCCAAUGUAUAUAUUAAAUACUUAGUUAAAUUAUAGAUAAAGGAGUACAGCCUUUAAGAGAUCAAAAUUAAUCCAUAUUCUUUAUCAGCACUGCCAGAGCCUCUGAUGGAGAUAUUAUAUCCUGAUUUGGGCACCAUGUUUUAAAGGAAGACUGGAGGGAUUCUUCAGGAAAGAAUAGAACAAUCAGAAAUACAAAACAUGAGGAAAGUGUGAAAGAAGAGUUGAGAAACUGGAGAAAGGACUUUGUGUCAAGGAGGGGAGAGGAAAAAGGAGGACAUAACUUGUGUUGUAUGUGUUAAAGAAUCUUGCAAACAAGCUGUUCUCUAUGUACCUAAUAGAUAGGACAAAUGGAAAUGGUGUUAAAACAUAUAAGAAAGAUUCACUUUAAAAGUAUAUUGCUUACUGACUUGCUGAACCUUCAUUACCAAAGAUUUUCAGGAAUGAAUUAGGAAUGGCACAGUUAGAGUUCUCCUGGUCUCGAGCACAAAGGGUGCUCUUCCAAGGUGCCACUGGUGACCUUCCAAGGAAGAUUUUUCUGGCAAUAAAAACACGUUCCUGUCCCUGGGCA